rnacentral:rRNA from 1 species
GGACGAAAGUCUGAGGCAGCAACACCGCGUGGAGGAUGAAGGCCUUCGGGUUGUAAACUCCUUUUCUGGGGGAAGAGAUAGGACGGUACCCCAGGAAUAAGUCUCGGCUAACUAUGUGCCAGCAGCCGCGGUAAAACGUAGGAGGCGAGCGUUAUCCGGAUUUACUGGGCGUAAAGCGCAUGCAGGCGGUUUUCUAAGUCGGACGUGAAAGCUCUCGGCUCAACUGGGAGAGGCCGUUCGAAACUAGAAAACUUGAGGAUGGUAGAGGAGAGUGGAAUUCCCGGUGUAGUGGUGAAAUGCGUAGAUAUCGGGAGGAACACCAGUGGCGAAGGCGGCUCUCUGGGCCAUUCCUGACGCUCAGAUGCGAAAGCUAGGGGAGAGAACGGGAUUAGAAACCCCGGUAUUCCUAGCCGUAAACGAUGUCAACUAGGCGUAGGAGGUUAUUGACCCCUUCUGUGCUGUAGCUAACGCAUUAAGUUGACCGCCUGGGGACUACGGCCGCAAGGCUA